rnacentral:rRNA from 1 species
GAUGAACGCUGGCGGCGUGCUUAACACAUGCAAGUCGAACGGAAAGGCCCAAGCUUGCUUGGGUACUCGAGUGGCGAACGGGUGAGUAACACGUGGGUGAUCUGCCCUGCACUUCGGGAUAAGCCUGGGAAACUGGGUCUAAUACCGGAUAGGACCACUUCUUGGAUGUUGUGGUGGAAAGUUUUUUCGGUGUGGGAUGAGCUCGCGGCCUAUCAGCUUGUUGGUGGGGUAAUGGCCUACCAAGGCGUCGACGGGUAGCCGGCCUGAGAGGGUGUACGGCCACAUUGGGACUGAGAGACGGCCCAGACUCCUACGGGAGGCAGCAGUGGGGAAUAUUGCACAAUGGGCGCAAGCCUGAUGCAGCGACGCCGCGUGGGGGAGGACGGCCUUCGGGUUGUAAACGCCUUUCGCUAGGGACGAAGCGUUUUGUGACGGUACCUGGAGAAGAAGCACCGGCUAACUACGUG